rnacentral:piRNA from 1 species
UGGUGUUCCUCUUUCCCCUGUGACCA